GGAGAGGUGCCGGAGUGGUUGAACGGGGCGGUCUCGAAAACCGUUGUACUUCGUAAGGAGUACCGUGGGUUCGAAUCCCACCUUCUCCG
rnacentral:tRNA from 1 species